UGAGGCUGGCGGGCUGACCCGGCUGCUCCAGCUCGCGCCCCGGUAACCACGGCAACCGCAGGCUUCAGGAAUGCGCACUAAUUGAAGGCCGAGCUUCCUCCCACAGUGAUGAGCAACAAGUGAAGCAAAAAUAACAUCUUAGUGCAAAAUUUCCAGUGAACAAUUAAGGCAAACCACCAUCGCGGCGGCGCUGGGCCCCUUUGCUUGUUUCUAGCAAAUGAAUGGAGAUGUGCGCACCCCUGGGUCUCCACGAAUAAAAUGCCAGCUAGCAGCAAGGGUUUCUCAGUGGAAGAAAUGAGCUGACACUGAUUUGCCCCCAGCUUCUCUGGAUCUUCUGUUCUCUUCAAGCCCAAAGAAGAACCUUGAGGGAGGUCAUGUUUAUGGGGUGACCAUCACCAGUUUGACUGCACAAUACAAGUUUAUGCCUGUUGUCUUGACAUAAAUUAUUAAAAGUUUCCCUGUGUCACUCUCAA